GUAAUCGUGCUUCAAGCGCAAAGGAACCACACUAUUCCAUCUCGAACUAGCCUGUGAAACUUUGUAGCGAGGAACAAGGUAUGGGGGACACCCCAUGUAAACAUUCCUUCAGUGCGAUUUU
rnacentral:rRNA from 1 species